AGUGAACGCUGGCGGUAGGCCUAACACAUGCAAGUCGAACGAGUGGCGGACGGGUGAGGAAUAUAUCGGAAUCUGCCCUGUCGCGGGGGAUAACGACGGGAAACUUACGCUAAUACCGCAUACCAUCGGAUGAGCCCAUGUCGGAUUAGCUAGUUGGGGGGGUAAAGGCCCACCAAGGCGACGAUCCGUAGCUGGUCUGAGAGGAUGACCAGCCACACUGGAACUGAGACACGGUCCAGAGUCCUACGGGAGGCAGCAGGGGGGAAUAUUGGACAAUGGGCGCAAGCCUGAUCCAGCCAUGCCGCGUGGGUGAAGAAGGCCUUCGGGUUGUAAAGCCCUUUUAGUGAGAAGGCGGUACCCAAAGAAUAAGCACCGGCUAACUUCGUGCCAGCAGCCGCGGUAAUAC
rnacentral:rRNA from 1 species